UGGCUCUCGAGACUAUUAAUAAACUGGAAGCUGUUAUAUUCUCAUUGAAAGAGAGAACUAUAGAACAAGUCACAGGAAAAUCACCCGUUAGAACUUCAUGGUCAUUUGUGAAGGGCCCUGUGUCUGAAAUUGAUAAAAUAGAGUUAUUAUUGGACCGUGCCGAAACACUAUUACAGUUGCUUAAAAUCAGAUACCCCAACCUUCCUCAAACAUUUCUAGAUGCUGCUAAAGUACAAUAUGGCAAGAGCAAGUUAUGAUGAGUGUGGUCCAUAUCCAUGAAGUUUAGAAGUAAUAAAUCCAUUCCCUUAGAAUGAUGGACCAGUCAACAUUUGGCAAGGCCGAAAAGAUAAGUUCAUUAUACAUCUCAUAGAAAGUUCCCUUGAUUUGUAAUCACAUGCUUCCUGUUAGGUUGUCAUAUAUUUAUCUUGAAAAAUAAUCCAUGCAAGUCCACAGUUACAGCACUUAUGCUUUCAUAAGGUAUAUGAUAUGAUAUCAUGUAGUGUCUAUUGAAAACUAAAUUGUCUACAUACUGUCUUGUAUUUGUUGAUAUGUUAUAGCUAGUAUAAACUGACUGUAAAUCCCUGCAGUCAAGAAAUUGUAAUACGUUUUGAUGAAGUUGCAUACACAUUAAAUUAGGACAAAUUAAAUCUAUCAUGCAUCAAUAAUAUAGAUUCGGUACUAUGCAUAAGAAUUAAAUUAAAUAUAAAGAUAACCUAUUAACUUUUAUUAUAGACAUUAUUAAUGCUAAAGUACUCGUGUUAUUGAGGCACUUUAUUUGUUUUGUUUUGUGUUGGGGCAAUUUGAUCCAUGUGUUGAACAAGUUGCAAUCUGAAUUGAUGUCUUUGAUGGUAAGAACUAAGAACCUUAAAUCUACUAUCAUAUCUACUAUCACAUGCCCUUCACUCUCUCUACUCAUUUUCUUUACAUUAUUGGUGUUGGAGUGUCCGUGUCGGAGUCUGCGCUUCAUAGGCCGGCUCUCAACUUCCCAAAAUCUUUACAUGCUUUUAAGUUUUUCUUCAAAUUUGGUUUAUUAUUUUAUGAUGCACAUAAUUUCUUUUUCAAUUUUGUAUCUGAGGAGUAAAGGGAAAAUAUAGUUACAAUUUAUCACACAACUGAAACAAGAAAUUGAAAUAUUUGACAUUUUUAAUUACACAGUUCUAACAACCUAGUUUCUAUUUCAGUAUCCAGACAAUCCUACAAGACAACAGAAGAAGGAUGUAAAAGAACUGCUGCAUACCUUAUGGAAAACCAUGCUGAUAUUGGUCAGGCCUUUUGGUCAUCUGUUCCGAAGAACAAUGAAGCUCAUCUUGCUUUGGGGACUACCCUGUUUCAUAGCGGAAUGUGCAUACAAGAUAUGAUCAGCUUUGAAGAUGUAUUGAAGGAGUUUACUUCUAAGAAAUGCGGUAAACUUGGGAAAUUGCUUAAGGAAAGUGGUAAUCAUGGGGUUCAGAUGAAAAACAAAGAUUCUAGAGCACCGAAGCUAACCGUCAAGCAUGGCGUAAAAUUAUAUAUGAAGAAAGUGUUAUGACUUAGUUAAAAUAUAAUUUUUAUGUGUAUGAUUUUAUAAUACUUGAAAUAUUAUGACUGUCCAUGAUUUUGUAUACUUUUUUGGUUAAUAUUAAAAAUAUUUUGACUUAGUUAAAAUAUGAUUUUUAUGCGUAU